AUGGGUUCCAUGAACAGCAUAAAGCCAGAAAAUACUGAAGAACGUGUUGCAGAGGGAGGAAACAUCAACCUGACCUGUGAUGUCCGUCCCACCCUGACGGUGCUGCCCCCCUCCAGCGAGGAGCUGCAGCAAGGGAAGGCCACGCUCAUAUGUCUGGCCAACAAGGGCUUCCCCUCAGACUGGAGUCUGGCCUGGAAGGUGGACGGCAGCAGCAGCAGCAGCAGCGGGGAGGAGAGCAGGAGCCCCGGGGUGCUGCAGAAGGACGGCCGCUACAGCUGGAGCAGCACCCUGAGGCUCCCUGCAGACCAGUGGAGGAAGGUGGGCUCUGUGACCUGUGAGGCCACCCAGGGCUCCCAGACUCCAGUCUCAGAGACACUGAGGAGAGACCAGUGUUCCCAGUCCUGACCUGACUCACUGGGACUCUGCUACUGGUUUUACUCUGCUACUGCUUUCAGUCUGCACUUUGUCUGAUUCUUUCUCUCGUUGCAUGUUUCAACAUUUAAGUGUUCUGGUUUGCUGUAAUGUUGAAUGUUUCAAAAUUUUAAAACAAUAAAGUUUCAUCAAAAAUGCAA